rnacentral:rRNA from 1 species
AUUGAACGCUGGCGGCAUGCUUUACACAUGCAAGUCGGACGGCAGCACAGAGAAGCUUGCUUCUUGGGUGGCGAGUGGCGAACGGGUGAGUAACAUAUCGGAACGUACCGAGUAGUGGGGGAUAACUGGUCGAAAGAUCAGCUAAUACCGCAUACGUCUUGAGAGGGAAAGCAGGGGACCUUCGGGCCUUGCGCUAUUCGAGCGGCCGAUAUCUGAUUAGCUAGUUGGUGGGGUAAAGGCCUACCAAGGCGACGAUCAGUAGCGGGUCUGAGAGGAUGAUCCGCCACACUGGGACUGAGACACGGCCCAGACUCCUACGGGAGGCAGCAGUGGGGAAUUUUGGACAAUGGGCGCAAGCCUGAUCCAGCCAUGCCGCGUGUCUGAAGAAGGCCUUCGGGUUGUAAAGGACUUUUGUCAGGGAAGAAAAGGCUGUUGCUAAUAUCAGCGGCUGAUGACGGUACCUGAAGAAUAAGCACCGGCUAACUACGUGCCAGCAGCCGCGGUAAUACGUAGGGUGCGAGCGUUAAUCGGAAUUACUGGGCGUAAAGCGAGCGCAGACGGUUACUUAAGCAGGAUGUGAAAUCCCCGGGCUCAACCUGGGAACUGCGUUCUGAACUGGGUGACUAGAGUGUGUCAGAGGGAGGUAGAAUUCCACGUGUAGCAGUGAAAUGCGUAGAGAUGUGGAGGAAUACCGAUGGCGAAGGCAGCCUCCGUGGGAUAACACUGACGUUCAUGCUCGAAAGCGUGGGUAGC